rnacentral:rRNA from 1 species
GGCCCUACGGGGUGCAGCAGGCGCGAAACCUUUACAAUGCACGAAAGUGUGAUAAGGGAACUCUAAGUGCUCAUGCAUUGCAUGGGCUUUUGCCAAAGGUAAAUACUUUGGAGAAUAAGUGGUGGGUAAGACUGGUGCCAGCCGCCGCGGUAACACCAGCGCCACGAGUGGGGAUCAGGUUUAUUUGGCCUAAAGCGUCCGUAGCAGGUUUUGUAAAUUUCUUGUUAAAUUGUUAGGCUUAACCUAACAUCUGCAGGGAAGACUGCAUUACUUGGAACUGGAAGGGGUAAGCGGUAUUUCUGGGGGAGCGGUAAAAUGUUAUAAUCCCAGGAGGACCACCGGUGCCGAAGGGGGCUUACCAGAACAGAUUCGACUGUGAGGGACGAAAGCUAGGGGAGCAAAACGGAUUAGAUACCCGUGUAGUCCUAGCCGUAAACACUGCGAGCUAGAUAUGGCGUAAACUUCGAGUUUCCGCUGUAUCGAAAUGAAGAUGUAAGCUCGCCGUCUGGGAAGUAUAGUCGCAAGUCCGAAACUUAAAGGAAUUGGCGGGGGAGCAC